rnacentral:rRNA from 1 species
AGAGUUUGAUCUGGCUCAGAAUCAACGCUGGCGGCGUGCCUAACACAUGCAAGUCGAACGAGAAAGUGGAGCAAUCCAUGAGUAAAGUGGCGACCGGGUGAGUAACACGUGACUAACCUACCUUCGAGUGGGGGAUAACCUCGGGAAACCGGGGCUAAUACCGCAUAACAUCUUUGGAGUGGAAAUUCUGGAGAUCAAAGGAGCAAUUCGCUGGAAGAGGGGGUCGCGGCUGAUUAGCUAGUUGGCGGGGUAACGGCCCACCAAGGCUUAGAUCGGUAGCCGGCCUGAGAGGGCGCACGGCCACACUGGAACUGAAACACGGUCCAGACUCCUACGGGAGGCAGCAGUGGGGAAUUUUGCGCAAUGGGGGAAACCCUGACGCAGCAACGCCGCGUGGAGGAUGAAGUCCCUUGGGACGUAAACUCCUUUCGACCCGGACGAUAAUGACGGUACGGGUGGAAGAAGCCCCGGCUAACUUCGUGCCAGCAGCCGCGGUAAUACGAGGGGGGCAAGCGUUGUUCGGAAUUAUUGGGCGUAAAGGGCGCGUAGGCGGUGCGGUAAGUCACCUGUGAAACCUCUAGGCUCAACCUAGAGCCUGCAGGCGAAACUGCCGUGCUUGAGGGUGGGAGAGGUGCGUGGAAUUCCCGGUGUNNNGGUGAAAUGNGUNNNNAUC